AACGAACGCUGGCGGCAUGCCUAACACAUGCAAGUCGAACGAGACCUUCGGGUCUAGUGGCGCACGGGUGCGUACCGCGUGGGAACCUGCCCUUAGGUUCGGAAUAACUCCCCGAAAGGGGUGCUAAUACCGGAUAAUGUCUUCGGCCCAAAGAUUUAUCGCCUUUGGAUGGGCCCGCGUUGGAUUAGCUAGUUGGUAGGGUAAAAGCCUACCAAGGCGACGAUCCAUAGCUGGUCUGAGAGGAUGAUCAGCCACACUGGGACUGAGACACGGCCCAGACUCCUACGGGAGGCAGCAGUGGGGAAUAUUGGACAAUGGGCGAAAGCCUGAUCCAGCAAUGCCGCGUGAGUGAUGAAGGCCUUAGGGUUGUAAAGCUCUUUUACCCGGGAUGAUAAUGACAGUACCGGGAGAAUAAGCGCCGGCUAACUCCGUG
rnacentral:rRNA from 1 species